GACGAACGCUGGCGGCGUGCUUAACACAUGCAAGUCGAACGGAAAGGCCCUGCUUUUGUGGGGUGCUCGAGUGGCGAACGGGUGAGUAACACGUGAGUAACCUGCCCUUGACUUUGGGAUAACUUCAGGAAACUGGGGCUAAUACCGGAUAGGAGCUCCUGCUGCAUGGUGGGGGUUGGAAAGUUUCGGCGGUUGGGGAUGGACUCGCGGCUUAUCAGCUUGUUGGUGGGGUAGUGGCUUACCAAGGCUUUGACGGGUAGCCGGCCUGAGAGGGGGACCGGCCACAAUGGGCCUACGGGAGGCCCCAGAAUGCUACGGGAGGCAGCGGGCGGGAGUAUGACACAAUGGGCGGAAGCCUGAUGCGGCAACGCCGCGUGCGGAAUGACGGCCUUCGGGUUGUGAACCGCUUUGGACUGUGACAAAGCGGGAGUGACGGUAAUGGGUAAAGAAGCACCGGCUAACUACGUG
rnacentral:rRNA from 1 species